CGCGAAAGCCGCAAGGCGAGUAGAGCGGCGAAAGGGUGAGUAACACGUAACCAACCUACCCCUCAGAUCGGAAUAACCGCUGGAAACGGCGGAUAAUGCUGGAUGUUCCGAACUGGAGGCAUCUCCGGUUCGGCAAAUGGUGGCGCAAGCUGCCGCUGUGGGAGGGGGUUGCGGGCUAUCAGCUAGUUGGCGGGGUAAUGGCCCACCAAGGCGAUGACGGCUACCGGGUCUGAGAGGACGGUCCGGCACACUGGGACUGAGACACUGCCCAGACUCCUACGGGAGGCUGCAGUCGAGAAUCUUCCGCAAUGGGCGCAAGCCUGACGGAGCGACACCGCGUGCAAGAUGAAGGCCUUCGGGUUGUAAACUGCUGUCACGUUUUAGGAACGAACGGGCGUUAACAGCGCUCGGACUGACCAAGGCGAGAGGAAGCACCGGCUAACUCUGUGCCAGCAGCCGCGGUAAGACAGAGGGUGCAAACGUUGUUCGGAAUUACUGGGCAUAAAGAGCACGUAGGUGGUGCGCUAAGUCACGUGUGAAAUCCCCCGGCUCAACCGGGGAAUGGCGCGUGAUACUGGCGGACUCGAGGCGGGUAGGGGUGAGCGGAACUCCAGGUGGAGCGGUGAAAUGCGUAGAUAUCUGGAGGAACACCGGUGGGCGAAAGCGGCUCACUGGACCUGAUCUGACACUGAGGUGCGAAAGCUAGGGUAGCAAACGGGAUUAGAUACCCCGGUAGUCCUAGCCGUAAACGAUGGGCACUGGGCAGGGGGGAUACCUAUGUCCUCUCUGCCGGAGCUAAUGUGUUAAGUGCCCCGCCUGGGGGAGUACGCUCGCAAGGGUUAAACUUAAAUGAAUUGACG
rnacentral:rRNA from 1 species